rnacentral:rRNA from 1 species
UGUGGAGUCGCAGUGACAACCAGGAGGUUGGCUUAGAAGCAGCCAUCCUUGAAAGAGUGCGUAAUAGCUCACUGGUCAAGUGAUUUCGCGCCGAUAAUGUAGCGGGGCUCAAGCAUACCGCCGAAGUCGCGGCACCUGUGAUCGGACGUUGUCUGGUUGUGGGUGGGUAGGGGAGCGUCGUGCGUCCGGUGAAGCUGUCGAGUGAUCGGUGGUGGAGGGUGUGCGAGUGAGAAUGCAGGCAUGAGUAGCGAGUCAGAAGUGAGAAACUUCUGCGCCGGAUGACCAAGGGUUCCUGGGGCAGGUUGAUCCGCCCAGGGUUAGUCGGGGCCUAAGGCGAGGCCGACAGGCGUAGUCGAUGGAUGACGGGUUGAUAUUCCCGUACCCGCUGUGGUGCGCCCAUACUGAACCUGGUGAUACUAAGAGUCCUUAGCUCGGCCGGCCUUUCGGGGCUGGUGUCAGGGUGAACGCUCGGCCUGAGCUGGUAGUAGGUAAGCGAUGGGGUGACGCAGGAAGGUAGCCCAUCCCGGGCGGUGGUUGUCCCGGGGUAAGCAUGUAGGGCGAGGGGUAGGUAAAUCCGCUCCUCAUGGUGCCUGAGGUGUGAUGCCGAGCCGAUUGUGGUGAAGUGGGUGAUCCUAUGCUGUCGAGAAAAGCCUCUAGUGAGUGCUAUGGCGGCCCGUACCCUAAACCGACUCAGGUGGUCAGGUAGAGAAUACCGAGGCGGUCGGGUGAACUGUGGUUAAGGAACUCGGCAAAUUGCCCCCGUAACUUCGGGAGAAGGGGGGCCUCUGCUGGUGAUCGGCUUUUCGUUGUGAGCUGGUGGGGGUCGCAGUGGCCAGGGGGAAGCGACUGUUUACUAAAAACACAGGUCCGUGCGAAGUCGUAAGACGAUGUAUACGGACUGACGCCUGCCCGGUGCCGGAACGUUAAGGGGACUGCUUAGCCUGCUUUUGGUGGGCGAAGGUGAGAACUUAAGCGCCGGUAAACGGCGGUGGUAACUAUAACCAUCCUAAGGUAGCGAAAUUCCUUGUCGGGUAAGUUCCGACCUGCACGAAUGGCGUAACGACUUCCCCGCUGUCUCAACCACAGGCCCGGUGAAAUUGCAGUACGAGUAAAGAUGCUCGUUUCGCGCAGCAGGACGGAAAGACCCCGGGACCUUCACUGCAGCUUGACAUUGGUGUUUGGGGCGGCUUGUGUAGGAUAGGUGGGAGACGGUGAAGCGGUGACGCUAGUUGUCGUGGAGUCAUUGGUGAAAUACCACUCUGGUCGUUUUGGAUGUCUAACCCGCGCCCGUGGAUCCGGGUGGGGGACAGUGUCUGGUGGGUAGUUUAACUGGGGCGGUUGCCUCCUAAAGGGUAACGGAGGCGCCCAAAGGUUCCCUCAGCCUGGUUGGUAAUCAGGUGGUGAGUGUAAGUGCACAAGGGGGCUUGACUGUGAGACUGACGGGUCGAGCAGGAGCGAAAGCUGGGACUAGUGAUCCGGCGCCGGCGUGUGGAAGCGGUGUCGCUCAACGGCUAAAAGGUACCCCGGGGAUAACAGGCUGAUCUUCCCCAAGAGUCCAUAUCGACGGGAUGGUUUGGCACCUCGAUGUCGGCUCGUCGCAUCCUGGGGCUGGAGUAGGUCCCAAGGGUUGGGCUGUUCGCCCAUUAAAGCGGUACGCGAGCUGGGUUUAGAACGUCGCGAGACAGUUCGGUCCCUAUCCGCUGCGCGCGCAGGAGACUUGCGAGGGGCUGUCCCUAGUACGAGAGGACCGGGACGGACGAACCUCUGGUGUGCCAGUUGUUCCGCCAGGAGCAUGGCUGGUUGGCUACGUUCGGUAGGGAUAACCGCUGAAAGCAUCUAAGCGGGAAGCUUGCCUUUAGAUGAGGUCUCCCACCCGUGAUGGGGUAAGGCCCCCUGGAGAUGAUGGGGUUGAUAGGCUGGGAGUGGAAGCGCGGUAACGUGUGGAGCUGACCGGUACUAAUAGGCCGAGGACUUGUCCUC